rnacentral:rRNA from 1 species
GAUGAACGCUGGCGGCGUGCCUAAUACAUGCAAGUAGAACGCUGAAGGAGGAGCUUGCUCUUCUGGAUGAGUUGCGAACGGGUGAGUAACGCGUAGGUAACCUGCCUGGUAGCGGGGGAUAACUAUUGGAAACGAUAGCUAAUACCGCAUGACAACAGUUAUUGCAUGAUAACUGUUUAAAAGGGGCAACUGCUCCACUACCAGAUGGACCUGCGUUGUAUUAGCUAGUUGGUGAGGUAACGGCUCACCAAGGCGACGAUACAUAGCCGACCUGAGAGGGUGAUCGGCCACACUGGGACUGAGACACGGCCCAGACUCCUACGGGAGGCAGCAGUAGGGAAUCUUCGGCAAUGGACGGAAGUCUGACCGAGCAACGCCGCGUGAGUGAAGAAGGUUUUCGGAUCGUAAAGCUCUGUUGUAAGAGAAGAACGAGUGUGAGAGUGGAAAGUUCACACUGUGACGGUAGCUUACCAGAAAGGGACGGCUAACUACGUG